GUCAAAGAUUUAUCGCUGGAAGAUGGCCUCGCGUCUGAUUAGCUAGUUGGUGAGGUAACGGCCCACCAAGGCGACGAUCAGUAGCCGGACUGAGAGGUUGGCCGGCCACAUUGGGACUGAGAUACGGCCCAGACUCCUACGGAAGGCAGCAG
rnacentral:rRNA from 1 species